GCCUCUUUAGCUCAGUGGUAGAGCGUCUGCCUCGUAAGCAGAAGGUCGCUGGUUCAAUCCCGGUAGGAGGCA
rfam:Smittium mucronatum strain ALG-7-W6 scaffold-17778, whole genome shotgun sequence.